CAUUACAUUAAAUGCUCAGAGGUCAGCUCAGAUAGACUAAACAAAAUCUGGAAGUCACCACGAAGGAGAGAAUUCUCUCUGAUGAAGGCUCGAGAAUCUGGCCCUCGUGGCAGCGACUUUUUCUCUGUGAGAUAACGAACCCUCAUUCAUAUUUGUGCUCUUCGUUCCCUUGUGACAUUUCGGUAACAGAGGUCAAUACCCGAACUGCAAACAAAUUACAAGACCGCAUACUGCACUGCUGAGCUGUCCCUGGUUGAGCAUCACGGCUUGACUUUCCCUUCUGCCAAGUCUUGCUUCCUUCUCCCGGAGAAUACGGAGAGUGCGCCCUAAUAAACACUGAAAGCAAGUCCCCGCCGCAGCUCUUCUUGAAACUCCGCCACCUAAAGGAAUUUGGGAGAAUGAAGUCAACACACAAAGGGAAACGGAAACCAGAGGAGGAGGCUGGGUGUAGUCAACCGGUGGGCCAGCGCCAGUGCAGGCAUCCGGCGGUUUGGCUGUGUGAACCAGAUGGUUUACAUUUGAAAAUGUUCUGUUUCAAGGCUGGUUUGAGCUGGCUCUUCAAGCAGAAAAGUCCCGCCUGGUAGAAGAGACAUCUGCACAAACUGGACUGGAGUGAUGACCCAUCAGUUAAAAUCACUGGCUGCUCUUCCAGAGGACCCUGGUUCAAUUCCCAGCACCCACAAGGAAACUCACAACACCUGGUGUUGUGCCCAGAUUUCGGAACCCCAAAAGAACCCAUCAACAAGGAGACGACUCACCGAAUGCAAGGACAAAGGUUUCUUUAUUGACUCGAGGAUACAAGCUGCAGCAAGGACCCCAUUCGUUUGGGAACAAAUGGAGCCCCCACUUUCGACUGAGGGGUGUUUUAUAAGAGAAAAUUGUAGGGCUGGAAGCCCCAAGAUUACAGAACUUCGUGGUUACACAGGACAGGGCAAUGGUUGUAUGCUUCAGGCAAGGUACAAUUAAGAAGGAUGCUGCAGAGGAAAUGAGUUUGUUAAUUAUCUCCUGGGCUGGGGACUUCUACAAUUGAUAACUAUCUGAUUCUCUUUGGACCAGAGGAAUGUCGACACCACUCUAGGGUCUGGUCUAAGGGCUUGAGUCCUGUGGACCUUUGUUUAACCUUGUCUGCUGAGUUGCCUUUUGGGAACUCAGAGUUUUCUAUUUGGGCUUUGGAGUCUGGGUUUUAGACUUUUAUUAAUUUUCCCCUUUCACUAGCUGUUCUGGAACUAGUUUUGCAGACCAGGCAGACAACAAACUCAGGGAAAUCCUCAGGCCUCUGCUGGGGAUUAAAGGUGUGUGCCACCACGCCAGUCUUUUUGUCGUUUGUCUUUCCUUCCCUUCCUUUGUUUAUCUUCCUUCCUCCCUUUUGUCCUUCCUUUCUCUCUCCUCCCCUCUCUUUCUAAAAGUGUUUUAACUAUGCUUAGUUUCUAGUGGUUAUACUACAUCUUUAACCGGAGGGGUUAAAAACAGCAGGAAAACGGGGUUUCCCAGCCCUGCUACUAGUGCUACCUAUCUUGUGUGCAGUAGGAUGUUUAUUUCAAAGCAUCCCUGGCCUCAGCCCAGCAGGUACGGACAAUGCUCUCUCGUCUGCCCUGAGUUCUAACAACCCAAGCACUUCUCUAGCUUUUGGCAAACGUCCCUACCUUAAAGUUAUAUCUCAAAGGUAGGGAGCAGCUAUCACUGUAGUCCUGGAGGGGAGAGGAGAGAGAGAAAGGGACCGGAAUUGCUUAAAUUAGAACUCUGCUGACGCUCGCUCUCUGCACCGGGCGCGGUGAAGCCAGUUCUGCCGGUGCUGCCAAAACUGCAAGCCGUUCUCAGAGUGCUACUAGAAAGGGACAGCGGCUCAUGGGGAAAAAGCUGCAGGCGGGGUCAGCAGCCACCUUGACCUCUUCAGCCUUCCCUCGAGCGCCCCCUAGGGGCAGAGUGUCGCAGGGAGCCAGCCCGCAAGGCAAGCCGCGGAUUGAGGGGAAUAGAGGGCUUGGGUGGGGGG
rnacentral:lncRNA from 1 species